AAGAAACCAACAGGGAUUGCCUCAGUAACGGCGAGCGAAGCGGCAAUAGCUCAGAUUUGAAAUCCGGCGCCCCACAGCGUCUGAGUUGUAAUCUGGAGAGGAUGUUUCGGUCGGGUCGCAGGUCCAGGUUCCUUGGAACAGGACGUCGUAGAGGGUGAGAAUCCCGUACUCGGCUUGCGCCACCCUUCCAUGUGAAACUCCUUCGACGAGUCGAGUUGUUUGGGAAUGCAGCUCAAAAUGGGUGGUAAAUUCCAUCUAAAGCUAAAUACCGGCGGGAGACCGAUAGCGCACAAGUAGAGUGAUCGAAAGAUGAAAAGCACUUUGAAAAGAGAGUUAAACAGUACGUGAAAUUGUUGAAAGGGAAGCGCUUGCCAUCAGAAUCCCGGCCAGACGAUCAACGUCCCUUCUGGGGCGUGCACUCGUCGGGUCAGGUGCCAGCAUCGGUUGGGGCGGCGGGACAAAGGCGGACGGAAUGUGGCUCCCCCGGGAGUGUUAUAGCCGUCCGUGCAAUGCCGCCAGCCGCGACCGAGGUCCGCGCUCACGCAAGGAUGCUGGCCUAAUGGUUGUAAGCGGCCCGUCUUGAAACACGGACCAAGGAGUCUAACAUCUACGCGAGUGUUUGGGUGUCAAACCCAUGCGCGCAAUGAAAGUGAACGGAGGCGAGACCCCCUGAGGGCGCAUCGUCGACCGAACCUGAUGUUCUCGGAUGGUUUUGAGUAGGAGCGUAGCUGUUGGGACCCGAAAGAUGGUGAACUAUGCCUGAAUAGGGUGAAGCCAGAGGAAACUCUGGUGGAGGCUCGCAGCGGUUCUGACGUGCAAAUCGAUCGUCAAAUUUGGGUAUAGGGGCGAAAGACUAAUCGAACCAUCUAGUAGCUGGUUCCUGCCGA
rnacentral:rRNA from 1 species